rnacentral:tRNA from 1 species
GGGGUCGUGGUGUAACCGGCAGCACACUGGACUUUUAAUCCUGGAGUGUGGGUUCAAGUCCCUCCGGCCCCA